AGUUAUCCGAUCGAUUAUCUCGAGAGGGUUCAUCUUCCUUAAUUUUACCCUUGCCUUUCUUACUGCUACUAGCCAUUGAUAAUGACAGAAGAAAUCAAAAAGAAGGUAAGAAGGUGGAAGGAGGAAAGCCUAGCUUGAAAGCUAAAAAAGGACCUGAAGAUCGUGAAGAUACGAAGGAGUUGGUUCCCUAAGGCCUUCAACACCUACUGGAACUCUCGGCACCCAC
rnacentral:lncRNA from 1 species